AUGGGAAACCGACGGAGGAAGAGAGGGCGCGAACACAGAGAUUCUUAUGGGUUUAUUAAGAUCUCUGAGCUGCUGACCCAACUGGCUGUGAGAACCACACCCCCUAAUGGGGCCCUCCCCCGUAACGUCAGCCUCCUCCCCUCCUUCACCCUCCCCUCGGUCCGAGAAACGACCGCCACCACCCGCUCCAAGGCCCAGCUCCCAGAAUGCAUCACGAGACUCUCAGACACCCAGUGUCGGAAGUGGUACCACCAGAGACAAGCCACGCCCUUCUCCGCCUCUAACCCCACCCCAGCCCUUAACCCUAGGCCUGCCCCCAACACCCCGGGACACACCACUGCUCCCGCCUCCGCCAAUAGCAGCCAACCAGGGAGAGAGAGACCCAGCCUGGUUUCCUCUGAUUUGUUUUUCCUGCCCUAUCUUGUGGCAAGGGAGACUGCGAAGGGCUGUGAUUCGCUGUCAUUGGUGAGGGAUCUGUUCCAGAGGGGUGAGGUGUGUCCAGACAUCCUGGGGGUGAAGGAGUGGUCGAGCCAGAGACCUGCUGCCUGGACCAAGGAUACAGCAGUAGCACAACAACGCAUGUCGAUAGAACCUGGUAAGCCCAACAUGGUACUCAGUGUUUUCCCUGGGGUGAAAAUGUUGCUGUUUUUGAAAGUGUACUUCCUGCAAUUGUACACACAUUACACCACCGUAUACUGUAUCUAAAUGACAACAUGUAUAAUACCACCAUACAUACGUGUGUUGUCUCCUCACUGUUCCAUAAGGUGCAGUUUUAGUUUUUAAAAUAAUUUUGUUUAAAAUACUUGCAUGAGUUAAUUGAUGUGCAAUAGAGUUUCAUGUAGUCAUGGCUCUAUGUAGUACUGUGCACCUCCCAUAGUCUGUUCUGGACUUGGGGACUGUGAAGAGACCUCCUGUGGCAUGUCUUGUGGGGUAUGUAUGGGUGUCUGAGCUGUGUACUAGUCGUUUGAACAGACACCUCGGUGCAUUCAACAUCUCAAUACCUCUAAGACAUGGGGCGGGGGCCUAUGCAUUUAUGUAAACAGGUAGAGUAUCUCAUGAUAAGCUGUAGACCACACUAUCUUCCUAGAAAGUUUUCAUCUGUAUUUUUCGUAGCUGUCUGCAUACCACCACAGAGCGAGGUUGACACUAAAACCGCACUAAAUGAGCUGUAUUCCAUAAGCAAACGGUGAAACGCUCAUACAGAGGCGGCGCUCCUAGUGGCUGGGGACUUUAAUGCAGGGAAACUUAAAUCAGUUUUACCUCAUUUCUAUCAGCAUGUCACAUGUGCAACCAGAGGGAAAAAAAUUCUAGACCAUUUACAUUUACAUUUAAGUCAUUUAGCAGAUGCUCUUAUCCAGAGCGACUUACAAAUUGGUGCAUUCACCUUAUGAUAUCCAGUGGAACAACCACUUUACAAUAGUGCAUCUAAAUCUUUUAA
rnacentral:lncRNA from 8 species